rnacentral:rRNA from 1 species
UAGGGUGGUUUUAGCGGUGGGGCUCACCUGUUCCCAUUCCGAACACAGAAGUUAAGCCCACCAGCGCCGAUGGUACUGCGACAAGCGGGAGAGUAGGUCGCCGCCAGUUUUUAUUUUAAACCUCAUACAGCAAUGUAUGAGGUUUUUUUGUG